CCUAGCAACUCAGGAGUCUGAGGCAGGAGGACGGUAAAUCUGAAGCCAGUCUAGGCAACUUAGUGAGACUCUGCCUCAAAAUAAAAAAUAAAAAGGUCUAUGGAUAUAACUCAGAGGUAGAGCAUCCCUGGAUUUAUCUCCAGUACCACAAAUAAUAAUAAUAAUAUUUUUUAAAUACCUGAAAGUAAUUGCUGAGUCAUAUGAUAAAUGUGCGUUUAACUUUUGAAAAAUUGUCAAACUGUCUUCCAAAAUGACCAUAUCGUUUUUACCUCCCAUCCAUCCAUAUAUGAGGGUGCCAAUUGCUCCAUAUCCUCACCAUCAGUUUCUUUAUGGGUUUUAAAUCUGAUUAUAUUGAAUGGGUAUGUAGCAGUAUCUCAUUUCCCUAGACUUUUGUUUUGUUUUUUGGUUCUGGUUUGGUUUGGUUUGGUUUGCUAGUAAAGGUUGAACCCAAGGGUGUUUAACCAUCAAGCUACAUCCCAGUCCUUUUUAUUUUUUAUUUUGAGACAAGACCUCACUAAGUUGCUGAGGCUGGCUUUGAACAUACAAUUUUCCUGCCCCAGCCUCCUGAGCCAGUGGGAUUACGCAUGCACCCCUAUGCCUGGCUUCCCUAGACUUUGAAACUCUGUCUCCAUUUUCUCUGCCCUCUCUUCGCUCCCUCUUUCACUAUAUAUUUGUAUAUUGAUACACAAGUACACAAAAAAGCACACACACACACAUAUACACAGAUAUACUCCUGAGAUGCUUCUUCAUUUCAUGUUUUUACUAUUAUCUUGGCUACCCUCAAUACCAGGGUCUCUGUAAGAUGUUACCCUAAGUGGCAGAGCACAUGGGGACCUUCACCCAGCCGUGGUGUACUGCAGACUCCAGAUUAGGAAGAAACAUUAUGUUGUCUAGUAGACUCGAAGAAGCUUGUAACACACCUCUGAGUGGGAGGAGCCCCACAGCCCAGCUAUGAAUUAGAUCAGGAGAAUCAGGGCAGAGAGAGCAUCUGCCCAGGCAGGGGCUGGAGUGAUGGCUUGGAGCAGAGUGCACUGGAAGGAAAACUAAAUCCACAGCAGGCUUGCUGAUUGGGUGGGGGUCAAAGAGAAGCAGUGCUCUCAGAAUGCUGGCUACUCACAUCUGGAUAAAUGCUGAUUGCUCCCCAAAGGUGCAGAUAAGGAACCCUGCCAGUGCUGGGCUGUGGGAGCCUAUGGGAGGCAGGACUGGAAUGCAGGAGCGAAAGACAGUUUUCAGGGAACAUCUGAGGCUGAGCCCCUAACACUCCUUCCACCAGGAAGUCAGACUUGGCAUAUGCUCCUGAGCCCAGGCUGGGUUGCCUAUAUCCUGGCAGGUUUGGGGAUAAGCAAGCACUUAUUUAAUGUUUGUCAAGUGAGUAGCUAAGUGUGCUUUAACUCAGUCUCCCCCAUGGAUUAGGUCCUCCUUUGUUUUGAGGACAUGGUGCACAUCUGUAAUCACAGCUACUCAGAAGGCUGAGUCAGGAGGAUAACAAGUCUGAGACCAGCAAAAUCCUGUCUCAAAAUAAAAUAGAAAUGUCUGAAGGUGUGACUCAGUGGCAGACACCUUGCUUAGUCUGCAUGAGGCUCUGGGUUCAACUCCCAGUACCGGGGUCGAGUUGGGGGAAAGUACUGGGUUGCUCUCUACAGAUUCACUGGGCAAGGCCACCUCAGGAUUCCAACUAUCUGAUGAUGUGCUUUACUACCACUGUAGCUGUAGUUUAAGUAGUGAAAGGAUAAAAGAAACUGAAGUUAAAGACCAGGCAUUGUAAAGCUUCUAAGCUGCAAAGCCUGAGUUAAAAUGUAAAAGACCAGGUAUUGUUAAGCUCCUAUGCUACACUCAAAACCUGAAAUUCCUGUAGCUGUUAGGACAAUUCACGGGACUGCCCAGUAGAUAUUCCCCCUGACCAUUUAGUUGUUAAAUAACCUGGGCCCUGUGCAGUUUGGCACGUAGGCAUUCAGGGCCCAAACCAAUCAGUUUGAAUGUACCCCCCUUCUUAGGACUGACCUAUCACCCCCGCCCGACCUGUUCCCGCCAAUGAAUGUACUAAUCAUGUUCAAGAGUUGUUGUUUGAUUUUCCCGCGGUAUAUGGUGAUUUGUUGAAGGGGACUGUGAUGUAUGUAAAGUCCCUGCCCUCCCUAAAAAAAUGUAUAUAAACCCUGCUCAAGUUGGGCUCUGGGCUGCUCUCCCUCCUUGAGUGAGCACAGAGCCCCAGCAUGCUGGAUCUUCAAUAAACCCCCUUUUGCUGUUGCAUGAGUCGGUCUCUUGGUGGUCUCUUCCUCUGUCGUUCGCCGGUCCCUUACAGUAGGCCCCACAGAACUGAAGCCCUUGGCAGAUCUCUGUGAUGUACACGUUGCAAGUUCUACAGGCAUUCAAGGUGCAAAAGUUAUAGGGUCAUGAUAGCUUCCUUCCAGAUUUCAAAGAAAAGCCUUUAAAACCAGGCAGAAGUUUGCUGCAGAGUCAGAGUCCCCGCAGGGACUCCCCAGUGGGGAAAUGCCUAAUGGAGCUGAGAAAGUGAAACCAAAGUGGAGACCCAUAAAGGUAGCAUGCCACACCAGCCUCGGAAAGCCACCGACAUCAGCAUGCAACUAUAAGAGUAGCCAUGUGGACUGGCAAAGCCAUUCACUCCUGCUGUGAUGAGCACAAGAUCUAGACUUG
rnacentral:lncRNA from 1 species